CUGCUGCCUUCCGUAGGAGUUUGGACCGUGUCUCAGUUCCAAUGUGGGGGACCUUCCUCUCAGAACCCCUACGCAUCGUCGGCUUGGUGGGCCGUUGCCCCACCAACUACCUAAUGCGCCGCAUGCCCAUCCGUGACCGGGGUCGCCCCUUUGGCCGGCAGGGGAUGUCCCCUCCCGGCAUUAUGUUGUAUUAGGCGGGAUUUCUCCCGGUUAUCCAUCUGUCACGGCCAGGUUGCAUACGUGUUACUCACCCGUGCGCCGGUCGCCGGNGG
rnacentral:rRNA from 1 species